rnacentral:ncRNA from 2 species
UACGUAGGGGGCAAGCGUUGUCCGGAAUUAUUGGGCGUAAAGGGCACGCAGGCGGUUUCGUCAGUCCGAUGUGACAGGCCACGGCUCAACCGUGGAAGGCCAUUGGAAACUGCGAAACUUGAGGACAGAAGAGGAGAGUGGAAUUCCACGUGUAGCGGUGAAAUGCGUAGAUAUGUGGAGGAACACCAGUGGCGAAGGCGACUCUCUGGUCUGUACCUGACGCUGAGGUGCGAAAGCAUGGGGAGCAAACAGG